CUGAAAUCCCUAAUCUUCCCAUGGCGGACAAUAUUUUCUCGUAGAAAAUAUUUGAUUCUCCCUCCAUCUUCCAAUCUUUUUAGUUCCCUUCCCAGUACAAAUCAGUUUUCCAUUCCAAACCCUAACAAACGUUUAACAAAAAAACACCCCUUCUUCAUCGUUUUGAACUCCUCCAUUUUCUCUACUUCCCCUUCUUCUUCUCCUCUCCAAUCAGUUAUCCGCCGUUUCAAGUGAAUACUUUUCAUUUUUCCUUUAAUUUUUGCCUAACAAUAAGCUCAUCACUCCCUCAAUCUUGUUUGUCGUUUUGAAAUAGACCCCUUUCUCUUCUAAUGUUUCUGCCGGUUAUUUUUGUUAGAGAUGUUGGGGCUGCUGUAGGGAUAAGACGAGGUCAUCGAGGAAUAAUCAAGCGUCGUCAAGCAGUAUAUUGAGAAACAUUACAAAGAGCAGAUGAAGAAUCUUUAAGACAGAAAAGAGAGCAUUUGGGCUUCUGGAGUCUUCACAUUGUUAAUAGGUGUACUAAGUUCAUUUCCUCCCACAUUAUCCCUCUCACCUCCUGACUCAAGAGUCACUGAACGAGUCGAGUUCGAACUCAGAUUACCCAAAAUGGCAUUCACAUUGAGGAGUGUGAAAGUACCGCCUAACUCAGCGAGUUUGGAAGAAGCAAGGAGCCGGGUCUUCGAUUUCUUCAGACAAGCUUGUCGAUCAAUCCCCACUAUUAUGGAUAUCUAUAACCUAGACGACGUCGUCACCAAAUCUGAGCUCCGUUCUUCCAUCUCCUCCGAGAUCCGUAAGAACUCUCAUGUUACUAACCCUAAGGUCCGUUCCCCAAUCUCUCCGUUUUAGAUCCUUUUUAUUUAAUUUAAUUUUUAAUUUGUUAAACUUUUGGGAAAUUGUAUCUUUCCUAGGGUUAGGAAAAUAUUGUAUUGCUUGCACUUAAUUUCUGGAAAUAAAUAAAAUUUAUAGCUAAUUUGAAUUAAGAGAAAAUAAAAUAAUGAAAAAUAAGAUUAUUCAAGGAAUGGUCAUUAUCCUAUUGAAAUCUGAGUUUAAUCUAAGCUUUAGUUGAUGUAGGAUUGUGAUGGAAAAGGUUGGAUAUUUUUAUUUUUUUAUUGUUUUGGGAAAGUAGUUUCGAUUUCGAUGUCUUUAUAUUUAACGGGAAUGCUAAAUUAUGCUGUUGAAUCAGAUUUAUUUCAUGAGUUGCCUUCAUUGUGCUCUAUCCUCUGAUCAAGAGGGGGACUGGAAAUGAGAUUUAAGAAGAGCUUUAUUGAUGGUAUAUUUUCGAAGAUUAAUUUGGAGAAUACUGAUGAGUUUUUCUGAAAUGAAAUGUUUGCAUUAAACUGGGAUUUCAAUAGCUUCGUGAACAAUUGUUCUAGUAUUGUCUUUUUUACUUUCUAGUGCUUUGUGUACAAAUUACUCUGGCUUGAUCCGUAUGUUGCUAAGAAAUCGUAAAUGGAACAGUUUAAACUUGUUUUGAAUGUCCAUUGAUGUAAUCUUUCGAUAAGCUGUUUUGAGUUUGAAGUCCUUUGAAUGGCAUGGAGAAAGCUAAGGUUUAACCCUCUUGUUUUUUCAUCUUGAAUAAUUCUUGUACUCUAGCCAGAUGAUACAGUGGCUGUUGAUGGUGAAUGAGGAUUAUUUUGCAUAUCAAAAUGAACCAUUUGUAUUAAUCAUAUAUAAUUUGUGCUGCAAAUAAAAAUGAUUUUUUUUCACAUUGAGAAUGAGGUUUAAAGCUUAUUUUGGGGUGGUUUCUAUGGAAAUUGAUCAAUCAAACCUGCUUCUAGUGUAUAAAUGGUAUUGCAGGUUUUCUCUAGAGAAACUGAUGACAUUUAUUAUGUUUGUUUUUUUCUCCAUAUAUUUUAAGGACCCUUGGAAGGUCAUAUCGUAUACCCUUAUUUGGGUAUGUGUUAGAACAUGGUAUCGGUGGAUGCAAGUAAGCUCAUUACUUCUUUAAUGAUGCAUUUUUUCCAUUAUUUGUUAUAUUAUUUUAUUUUCUUGUAUCACGUGAUUUACUGUGUAUGAAAAAUUGGUCUGCAAAUUAUUAGUUUUGAUAUACUGGUGUAAAUGUUCAAUUAUUAGUUUUGGCAUUGACUGCAGCAAGUGUGACUCAAUUGAUCUGUUAAUAUGCUUUUGUUCUUUUUAAUUCUUAGACAUCAUAUUUGUGCAUAUAAAAUCAUCUAUGAGAAUCUUCCUGCUUUACCAUUCACAUAUCGAUGCUUCUGUCAUUUUUGGUGAAGCUUUAUAUAUACUUUCUAUCCAUUUGGAUGGUGAAAUUUACAUUCUUUGGUGCUGAUGCAGGCCCAUGCAUGAAGUUACAUUUUCAACAGAAGACAAACCAAAACUUCUUAGUUAGGUGUAUGAUAGGUUUGUUUGACAAAUAGAAGUGUAUUUUCUAUCUUGAAAAUUUUGCUUUAAGAAGUGUAUUGUCUUGAAUAUAUCCAGAGAUUGCAUGGUUAGGGUUUAAAUAGUAAGAAAAAAGGAAGGGAAAAUGUGUUUGGAAAUCAUAAAAGUUAAACUGCUAACUGUGUUGACUAUGCACAUUAUACCAAAUAGAACAUUUUACAAUCCGUUAGCUUCAUAACUUCAUUCAUACUUUUAGCCCCAUUUAUUUAUUUAUUAAUUGAAAAUAAUGCACAUUAUACCAGGCAAGCAAAUGUACAUUUUUUUUGAAAUCUGUCAUGUUUAGAUAAUGUUCUUAUGCCAUUUCUUCAGUACCUCCUUCUAUAAAAAGGUAGUUGCUUGCUUCUACCUUCAAUUUUCCCAUACUUUACUUUGCUUGUUCAUGUAAGUCUUUGUAAUUAUCAUUUUCUAAACUACUUUUUCGUUUCUAAAUUAUGAUGCUCAGUUAGUGAAUCCGGAGAGUGGCUAUAAUUAUAGAGCUGUCAAAAGAUGGACUUCACAAAGGAAGCUGGGUUAUUGCCAAUUGGAUUGUGAUAAAGUAACUAUUUAUCUUAACACUUUGAAUCAAUCAUUUGUUUUGCAUGAUAUAUUUAUUGCAGGAACAUAUGCCCUAUGCCCUAUUUUCACUUAAGGACCGCCAAGGAAAUUCUGAAACUGAAAGCUGAUUGAUCGGAUGUGUAUGCCGGCUUUCAUCAACUACUUUCGAAGGUCUUACUAGGAAUUGAAAUGCUGUGCAAAGAGAUUGCUUCUUCUGAUCUAAUUUUUCGAUAUAAAUACUGGACAAAGUAUGGAUAUUUUUUAUCAGUUGCAUUUACUGCUGUUAGUAAAAUAGUAUUCUCUUCUUAGGAUCUUAGUUUCUUCACUUGUAUUAGACUCAACAAUGGCUUGCAUUCCAUUGGUGUUGAUUUUACAAUUUUUAAUUUUUAUUAAUUAUUUACGUUUUCUCACUUUUA